rnacentral:rRNA from 1 species
UACGUAGGGUGCAAGCGUUAAUCGGAAUUACUGGGCGUAAAGCGUGCGCAGGCGGUUCGUUAAGUCCGAUGUGAAAUCCCCGGGCUUAACCUGGGAACUGCAUUGGUGACUGGCGGGCUAGAGUAUGGCAGAGGGGGGUAGAAUUCCACGUGUAGCAGUGAAAUGCGUAGAGAUGUGGAGGAAUACCGAUGGCGAAGGCAGCCCCCUGGGCCAAUACUGACGCUCAUGCACGAAAGCGUGGGGAGCAAACAGG